GGUCGGUUAGCUCAGUUGGUUAGAGCGUGGUGCUAAUAAGCAAACUCCAGCUUAUGAUACGCCAAGGUCGCGAGUUCGACCCUCGUACUGACCA